CUGGCGGCAGGCCUAACACAUGCAAGUCGGGCGGUAACAGGGAUAGCUUGCUAUCUGCUGACGAGCGGCGGACGGGUGAGUAAUGCAUAGGAAUCUGCCUGGUAGUGGGGGAUAGCCCAGAGAAAUUUGGAUUAAUACCGCAUACGCCCUACGGGGGAAAGCUGGGGACCUUCGGGCCUAGCGCUAUCAGAUGAGCCUAUGUCGGAUUAGCUUGUUGGUGAGGUAACGGCUCACCAAGGCGACGAUCCGUAGCUGGUCUGAGAGGAUGAUCAGCCACACUGGGACUGAGACACGGCCCAGACUCCUACGGGAGGCAGCAGUGGGGAAUAUUGGACAAUGGGCGCAAGCCUGAUCCAGCCAUGCCGCGUGUGAAGAAGGCCUUCGGGUUGUAAAGCACUUUCAGCGAGGAGGAAAGGGGUGUUGCUAAUAUCAAUGCCCUGUGACGUUACUCGCAGAAGAAGCACCGGCUAACUCCGUGCCAGCAGCCGCGGUAAU
rnacentral:rRNA from 1 species